rnacentral:rRNA from 1 species
AAACUGAGAAUAAUACCCGAUAGGACAUUAUGCCUGGAAUGGUUUAUGUUUCAAAUAAUUUAUUGCCGUAGGAUGGGACUGCGGCCUAUCAGUUUGUUGGUGAGGUAAUGGCCCACCAAGACUAUUACAGGUACGGGCUCUGAGAGGAGUAGCCCGGAGAUGGGUACUGAGACACGGACCCAGGCCCUAUGGGGCGCAGCAGGCGAGAAAACUUUGCAAUGUGCGAAAGCACGACAAGGUUAAUCCGAGUGGUUUCUGCUAAAGGAACCUUUUGCCAGUCCUAGAAACACUGGUGAAUAAGGGGUGGGCAAGUUCUGGUGUCAGCCGCCGCGGUAAAACCAGCACCUCAAGUGGUCAGGAUGAUUAUUGGGCCUAAAGCAUCCGUAGCCUGCUUUGUUAGUUUUCGGUUAAAUCCAUUCGCUCAACGAAUGGGCUGCCGGGAAUACUGCAAAGCUAGGGAGUGGGAGAGGUAGACGGUACUCGGUAGGAAGGGGUAAAAUCCUUUGAUCUAUUGAUGACCACCUGUGG